rnacentral:rRNA from 1 species
AGACAGAGGGUGCAAACGUUGUUCGGAAUUACUGGGCGUAAAGCGUGCGCAGGCGGUUGUGUAAGUCAGAUGUGAAACUCCCCGGGCUCAACCUGGGAACUGCAUUUGAGACUGCACGGCUAGAGUGUGACAGAGGGGGUAGAAUUCCACGUGUAGCAGUGAAAUGCGUAGAGAUGUGGAGGAAUACCGAUGGCGAAGGCAGCCCCCUGGGUUACUACUGACGCUCAUGCACGAAAGCGUGGGGAGC